GGGAAAAGAAAAAGUUUUGAUUUGAGAUUGAAAUUUAGGGAUAAGUAAAAUUUAAAAGGAAAAUAAUAGAAGAAGUUUGAGUAGCUAGGUAGAGGAUACAUUGAUUUCACGGAAUAAAGGAAGAAGCAAGAUCUGAAAAUUUGUUUGCCAAAAAUGAACAAGGUAGAAAGAGAGGGGAAGGAUUGCGUAGGAAUUGAUGUUGCAAUUGGAGGGUGGUUGGAAAAUGUUACACACAUAGACACACAAUUAUGCCACUCUUUCUAAAUCUGAAGGCCGACAACUAAUUAGUGGUCUAUCUCUGUCACUAUUCUAUGCCUAACACUAUUAAACAUCACCCUCAUGGAGCCAUUUCCCUGCAUUUUAUGCUUCACCACAUGCCCUCAAACAUGGUGCUCCCAAAACCCCACC
rnacentral:lncRNA from 1 species